rnacentral:rRNA from 1 species
UACGAAGGGGGCUAGCGUUGCUCGGAAUGACUGGGCGUAAAGGGCGCGUAGGCGGUUUGUACAGUCAGAUGUGAAAUUCCUGGGCUUAACCUGGGGGGCUGCAUUUGAUACGUGCAGACUUGAGUGAGGAAGAGGGUUGUGGAAUUCCCAGUGUAGAGGUGAAAUUCGUAGAUAUUGGGAAGAACACCGGUGGCGAAGGCGGCAACCUGGUCCUUGACUGACGCUGAGGAGCGAAAGCAUGGGGGAGCGAACAGG